UGGGGUGAUUCAAAAGCCUAACUUGCGUGACAUUUUGCAAGAAAUCUAUUGGAAUUAUCAAAGUGAGCUUUGGGAUCAUUUUAGCACCAGAUCUGGGUCGGACAGCUGGGUAUUUUUGUUCUAGUUAUUUGCUUGGGGUUUCUUAUAAUCUUGAGAGCUUGGAAUUAGGAAAGUUCAAAGGUGUUAUUCAUGAUUCUUCAUUGGGAUGUUAAUCGUUCCAAGGCUCUUCGGAGAAGAAAGGCACGGUUCGAAUGGAUUUGUUCGAGGCUCCUAUUCAACCCUUCAGGAGUGCAAAGUUCGCUGUUGGAGAGACUUCCACACCUUGCGACUGAUCCCAAGGCGACGCUCCUACAGUUCUGAGGGUGAGCCUGAUGAUCCAUGCAGCCCCAGAAUCUAUCUUCUUUAUUGUCCUAUUUCUAUUUCGAGACAUUAUUUAUUACAGAUGAUGUAUUGACUAUUAGACUUGUAGUAGUAUUUAGUAGCUCUAGUGACCAGACCAGAUUUUGGGAUUUAUCUAUCUUUCGCACUUGGUAUU